rnacentral:rRNA from 1 species
CAUAUCAAAAGCGGAGGAAAAGAAACUAACAAGGAUUCCCCUAGUAACUGCGAGUGAAGCGGGAAAAGCUCAAAUUUAAAAUCUGGUGGUCUUUGGCCAUCCGAGUUGUAAUCUAGAGAAGUGUUAUCCGCGCUGGACCGUGUACAAGUCCCCUGGAAUGGGGCGUCAUAGAGGGUGAGAAUCCCGUCUUUGACACGGACUACCAGGGCUUUGUGAUGCACUCUCAAAGAGUCGAGUUGUUUGGGAAUGCAGUCAAAAUGGGUGGUAAAUUCCAUCUAAAGCUAAAUAUUGGCGAGAGACCGAUAGCGAACAAGUACCGUGAGGGAAAGAUGAAAAGAACUUUGGAAAGAGAGUUAAACAGUACGUGAAAUUGUUGAAAGGGAAACGCUUGAAGUCAGUCGCGUCUGCCAGGGAUCAACCUUACUUUUGUGAGGCGUACUUCCUGGUUGAUGGGUCAGCAUCAGUUUUGGUUGCUGGAUAAAGGUCAGAGAAAUGUGGCACCCUCGGGUGUGUUAUAUCUUUGAUCAGAUACAGUGGCUGGGACUGAGGAACUCAGCGCCGCAAGGCUGUCUUAGGAUGCUGGCAAAAUGGCUUUAAUCGACCCGUCUUGAAACACGGACAAAAGGAGUCA